GUCUGUAUGGAGUUAUAUAAAGUCUAACCUGCCCAUUGAAUUUUUAAAAGGCCGCAGUAUUUUAACUGUGCAAAGGUAGCAUAAUAAUUAGCUUUUUAAUUGAGAGCUUGUAUGAAGGGUUGGACAAAGGAGAAUCUGUCUUUGAUGUUUAUUUUGAAUUUUACAUUUAAGUGAAAAGGCUUAAAUUAAUUUAAGGGACGAUAAGACCCUAUAAAUCUUUACAUUGUUUAUUUUUUUUUGUUAUUUAGAUUAUUUAACAAUUAGAAGAAUAAAUAUAUGUUUUGUUGGGGUGACAGGGAUAAAAAAUAAAUAACUGUUUUUAAAAAAAACAAAAAUAAUUGAAUAAAAAAAAAGAUCCUUUUUAAAGAUUAAAAGUUAAAGUUACUUGGGAUAACAGCGUAAUUUUUUUUGAGAGUUCAUAUCGAAAAAAAAGUUUGCGACCUCGAUGUUGAAUUAAAAAAUUUUUAUAGAGCAGAAAUUAUAAAAAAGAGUCUGUUCGACUUUUAAAUUUUU
rnacentral:rRNA from 1 species